AAUAGCCCGUUUUCGGGUUGGUUUGUCUGCCUCAGUCUGUCUCUUCUGGUCAUCGCGGAGGCUGUUCAAGGUGUGGCCACCACCCCAAACAACGCGGGAUGUCACAGUACCGUAUCAAUCUUAAAACUAGUAAACGUUACUACAGCGGAAGCCGUGGUGAAGUCGUACAGCGUAAGGCAGUCCGUGUCGUGUGGACUAUGGAGUCUAGGACGUUGUACCCGAUACAGUCUACAGUACAGAAUUGUUUACGAGACCAAACUGAGGCUGCGCACAGAGACUCACUACAGUAAGUCGUGCUGUCCAGGGUGGAAGGGAGACAACUGUGAUAUGGGUA